AGACUACCCGGGCCCUCACAGAAGGCGGUGGCGGGCGGGUGCAGCGAGUUUGUCCCCUUGCCCGCACACUGCUUGGCCUCUGUACUUAAGUGCGGUGGCCGCCUGCCUCGCUGGAGCUUCUCUGCCGCAGCCAUCCGUGCUGCUUGGGACGGGCCGGGGCGCGAAGGCGGUCGCAUCCAUCGCUCUGCCCUCCUGCUUCUCUUGUGUAAUCAGCUGCCUAUUUGGAAAUUGGGCAGGGUUUGCGACUGGAUGCUAAUGUCACUGACUAGUUUUCAGCCUACCAUCCAGAAGUAACAUGUUCCCAGCUUUGGAAACGCACCUAAAGCAGACUAUUCCUGAUCCUUAUGAAGACUUUAUGUACCGUCACCUCCAAUAUUAUGGCUACUUUAAAGUGAAAAGUACUUCCUUUCCCCAUUGAUCUGCGGGUCACCUCUGUCAAGUAGACAGCAUCACUUAAUACAAAGCUCAGAGAGGCAGUUUACCAAACUCUGCUACGCAUCAGCAUGUUCGGAAGAAUAACCCUCAAUGCCUGUUGAAUGGCUCUCUUGGGGAAAAAGAUGAUUUGAUACCAGACACCCUGCAAAAGGAGAAG
rnacentral:lncRNA from 10 species